rnacentral:tmRNA from 1 species
AUGAGUUUGGCCUGCAAGGCGAAAUCGACGGCAAUGUUUGCAGGACCGCGUGGAUGCCUCGCCCGGGGCUGAAGCGUUAAAACCAAUCGGGCUCGCAGACAGCACCCUGACCGUUGGGUCGCUUGACGCUAAAUCAAUAAACGGACUCUAAGCAUGUAGAGCCAAUUGCCGAGUGCCAACGGACGCGGGUUCAACUCCCGCCGCCUCCACCA